UCUUUUCUUUGAGACUCACU
rnacentral:miRNA from 1 species